rnacentral:rRNA from 1 species
GCGCGAAACCUCUGCAAUGCGCGAAAGCGCGACAGGGCCACCCCGAGUGCUAGCCGCUGAGGUUAGCUUUUCCUUAGUGUAGUAAGCUAAGGGAAUAAGCGGGGGGCAAGCCUGGUGUCAGCCGCCGCGGUAAUACCAGCUCCGCGAGUGGUCGGGACGAUUAUUGGGCCUAAAGCGUCCGUAGCCGGCCUAUCAAGUCUCUGGUUAAACCUCAAGGCUCAACCUUGAGAUUGCUGGAGAUACUGUUAGGCUAGGGGGCGGGAGAGGUUGAGGGUACUACGCGGGUAGGGGCGAAAUCCUAUAAUCCGCGUAGGACCACCAGUGGCGAAGGCGCUCAACUGGAACGCGCCCGACGGUGAGGGACGAAAGCCAGGGGAGCAAAGGGGAUUAGAUACCCCCGUAGUCCUGGCUGUAAACGAUGCGGGCUAGGUGUUGGGUUGGCUUCGUGCCAACCCGGUGCCGCAGUGAAGACGAUAAGCCCGCCGCCUGGGAAGUACGGCUGCAAGGCUGAAACUUAAAGGAAUUGGCGGGGGAGCACCACAAGGGGUGAAGCCUGCGGUUUAGUUGGAGUCAACGCCGGGAAUCUUACCGGGAGCGACAGCAAGAUGAAGGCCAAGCUGACGACUUUGCUAGAUGGGCU